ensembl:lncRNA
UGGGUUAUGCACUUUUAUUAUUUGUUGUCUCUUGUUAAAAUAAUUCCAUUCAACCUAUUGGGAAGUAGACCAAGUGUAAUAGGUGACCAGUGACACAUCGAGAAUAACAAAAUAAAAAGCCCAAAUGAGCACAUCAUGGGUGAGUUUUAGGCUGGAAACUGUUUGCCUAAGAUAUUCCUAAUGAAUAUUAUGAGGUAUAGAGCCCCUUUCCUCUGAAGAUUCAACGUACUUCCCAGAUCUGAUGUGGGGUUCCCAACUGGGUACAAGAGAUCUGAGCCCAGAAAAUAAGGCUGCAUUCAUCCAAGAGUUCACUUCAAAUGAAGGCUUUUAUCAGCUGUUCCAUAAAAGAGAAAAAUAUUUUGGAUGUUUAUUUUUAGCUCUUCACAUGAAUAAUAGAAGUAAAAUGACUUCAGUAUUAAAUGUGAAGCGAUUUUUAAAAACAUCUCAUAUGUAGGUUAACAAUGAUAUACGUGAGUAUGAUACGCGAGGGUUUUCAGUAAUGCCAGAUUCAUGCUUUUAAAUGGCAUGUCUCAGCUUUUGUGAAGUCCAAGGUAAAGUCAUCUGCCCUCAAACGCCCAAGAAAUAGCAUUAUCCGGUGUGACACAUGCCUAGAUAUGUCUGAUUGUGAUCGUAAUAUAGCCUUAAGGUAAGAGAACAGGACAACCACUUGUACGCUAUUUUUUUUCAUUGUUGUUUACAUUUAUCUACAUCAAAGGAAAGCUUCUGCUAAAUCUAUUUAUUUGCAGAUCAAUGACACUAUUAGUGAUUGUCUAUAAAUGUAUAUGAAGUAGUAUAAGACUGAUUUGAUAAUUAGCACAUACUUUAAAAAUGGAAUAUAUUAGUGCACAAUCAUGUUUCAUCCCUGAAAAGCCUGCUGAUUUUGAAAAACACUUUGAGGAAGAAUGUACCACUAUAACAUGAGAAAUAUCUAGAUGUGUCAAAUGAAAACCCUGGCUGCAAAUCCCUGAAGUAUGAAUUAAAGAAUUGAUGCUUCCUGUGCUGAGGGCUUACUUCAAGGCUGGUGCUUAUCCACAUGUUCCAUCAGGAGGAGCAGGAAGGCUGAGUGCACAGGGACAGUUGGCAUCUUUCAAACUCAGCCUGCAGAGCCCUGCAUCCUCCAUUCAGGUGGUUUUCAGGCAAUGGAACUUGGGCCUGAGGAUACUGGAGGCUGUCAGUUUUGAAAACAUUGUCUGCAGAGAUUCACUGCCUUGAGGUGAUUUUCUCCGAACUUUUGUUUCCUCUCUAGGUGAGACCUAUGGGCUGAUUGGCAGCCCUUCUGAUCAGUGAGGUUUACAAUCUCACAUCUACAAUGUCUUAGUGUCUUUGUUUGGACGUAGGACCUUUGGACGUUGGACCUUUGGACGUUCGUUCUGUAGUCACACACCACAGCACAAUUUCCUCCCUAAGUUAUCAGCAUUAAAGUCAGUCGUGAUACAGCCCAGAUGUGUUUCACUCUUUGACUUUAUUAACUAACUUCGAUGGGGAAAAAUGUGGUGAGUGGAAGUACGUAAACACAGCGAGGUGGUUAGGCAUACAUUUCAGUUAUAGGAUUUGUUGUUUGGAACUAAGAGUGUUUCUGCCCUUUAAUCCAAGGCAGGGAUAAUAUUCCAUCUAAUUCACUGCACCUGCAGACACCCAGAUUAUUUUAUUCUGACGUGAAAAACCUGCUGAUGUCUGAGAAAUUGCUUAGCCUGCACACUGUCCCUCUUCUUCCCCUUCAUGGAUCCUGUGGGACCAUUCUGUCCUGUGAGAACUGGAUCCUCCAUUCUCUCAGUGUUGCUGUGACUCAUCCUGCUCAACCUGCAGAGAUCCAAGUGGAAGAAUAAGUUUCUCAAAAUGAUGAACAACAGAGGAAAAAGUAAAAUCCGAACAAUCCCAGAGGGUUCACCUUCAUAAAAUAAUGCGUAUUAACUAAUGUAUAUUUCCUCGCUUACCUUAUACCUGUGUUUCAUUGCCUUGCAUUAGUGAGGUAAUUAAUUUCACAGGAGAGAUGAAAGGAGCCAAAGAGAUGACAGCAGGCAUGUGUGAGAAAGAAGUCAAGUGUGGGUCUGCGAUGGUGGGCAGCUGAAAAGUGUUUUUGACAUGCAUUUCGUGAAUGUGAAGGAAGUGUCAAGAAGUGCAGGCAAAGGAGCUGAAGGUGUGUUGUGUUUUCUGCUGUCUUGAGCAGGAUUGUGUGCCGGGUAUCUUCUGAUAGAUGAUACGCGGGGAGGGUGAUGUUGAGCCCAGUGUAACACGUCUGAUCUUCUCGCAUAGCUUUAAUCAUUUACAGUGAGGGGUUAAACUGAAUUCCCUAAGAAUUAAAUGUUUCCUGCUUUGCUGGGGAGAAAAUAUAUAUAUAUAUAUAUAUAGUAUAUAUAUAUACACGUUCAUAUAUACUAUUUUUUAGACUUAAGGUUUCUUAGGGGAAAUGCUGUAUCCAAGGGCUGUUUCAUGAGCUGGGAGCACUGUUCUAAACCUCUGGGGCAAAUGUUUUCAUUGAAUUGUCGAAAGAGCCUGAGAUUGGCAACACCACCCUGCCCCUGGCUAAUGAGCCUUCCCCGAGAGAAUAUCAAGUGCAAUUACCUUUCAGGGAAUAACAACAUACCAAAGAACCAUGGACCCUGCAGAGAAAAACGAAACAUACAUUUGUAGGUAGAAACAGCUAUGAAUCAGCAUUAAUUAUCCAAUAGAGGGAAAAGGGUUGCAAUAAGUCUCGGUUCCUGACUCACACCAUAGAUCACAGCAAAUGUGAGCUACUUAUAGAAUAUAGAUAUAUUGAGAAGUUCAGCCUACUCCAGCCCCCUCCCCCGGGACGCACACUUUGUCGUGGUCCGGGCUGCGCUCCUGGGGUGAGCGUCCCGACCUCCGCUUCGGAGAUGGCUGCAGGAGACGAAGAAGGCGGCUGCUGGAGAGGGAGCCCCGGACGGCAGAGGGACAGUUAAUGUAGCGCAAAAGUCUCAUUCGAGGUUUUCCACGUGCAGACGUGGCCGAGGCCGCCGGGCGUCCCAUAGCAGCUCGGCUUCAGAGCCGGGAGGACCUCGUCCCCCCACGGUUUCUUGUCCGGCAGAUGCAGAAAGGAGGAGAGUCCCGGGCGAUUAGGUUUUAUUACGCGCAUUCCUAGGAAAGAGGAGGGGGGAGGGAGGGGGACACCAUAUAUUUGGGGUUGAGCGAUUGGAAAAACAUGUGAAACUCAAGGGGCUGCUGGAUGUCACCGCGGCUCCCUGAGCGUGUCCCCUUGCGCUAAGCCUCCCGCCGAGGCGCGGCUCUCCGCUGCCCGCUGCAUCCCUCGGAGCCUCCCCAGGGAGCCGGGAAACCCCGCCGCAAACUCUUCGGACGUGAAAACGCCGUGGAGAAGUACCGGCUGCUUUGCUGAAACAAGGCACACAUAUAUUGAGUUUGUCAGGGAUCAUAAAAUGUGAAUUGAUUAUUCAAACAGCCAUUGAUUAUAAAAGAAUGCUUACUGCAGCAAUGGGAAAGAUUAAAAGGAAAUUGACCCUCCGCGUACGUGACAUAAAGUCAUUACGUAAAUGAGAUAUUCAUACAGGGUAUAAUCAAGGUCACGCUAAUUUUAUUUGCGGUAUUCCACUCAAAUCUCGGGCUUCGUUUAGAGGCGGCGAAUUGUCCCCGGGGGACCUAAAGCACCAGGUAGACCGCAGGUGCCGCUAAAAUAUAUAUACGCCCCGCGUCAGUACAACCCGAGGAAGGCUGCGCGUUACCGCGGGGUCCCGCGGGCACGGCGGGCCCGAGCCCCGUGCGGUGCCGGCGGCCGCGGAGCCCCCCGGAGGCUGUUGGCACCGCGCCGCUGCCGCGGCCGCCUCCCCCGGGCCGGGAGCGCGGGCGGUGCGGGCGCUGCCGAAGAGCCGCGCCUCUCCCAGCCGGGAUGGGAACGUGUCAAAAAAUUAGAUGUAUUUAUGCACAUAUUUAUCCCCUCUAAUUAUAGAAAUUAAUCCUCUUAGUUAUGACUAAAAGGUAACGUCUGAGGCGUCCCUUUGAUGUUUAACAGCGUCGUUUGUGGCUAACAUUCCAACUGAUUAAGGAAUAAUUGUUGUUAAAUGCUUUACAAGUGGAUAGUGUUUAAUUGAGAGGCAUUCAUAAUUCUACGGCUUACCGCAAAAUGAAACGUAAUUAAAAACGCAGGAAUUUCCAACCGAUUUUAUUCCAAUUAUGUUUAUUGUUCCGACUAAUUACGGCAGAAGGGGCGCGUUCCCCGGCCCCGACCGGCACGCGGUCCCACACGCACUGGGCGGGUUCCCCUCCUCACCCCCCCCCCCCCCUCCGCCCCCCAUGAAGCGCUCCGGCCCUUUGCUUCUCUCCUCCUCGCAACACCUGGGAAUGCGCGAAAGUGCUGGCAGCACCCUUCCCUCGGAGUCACCGUAGAAGGGCUGAUGGAUUUCUCGGAGAAGCACUUGCCACGCACUGCGGCAACCAUCUCCUAGCAGGAUUUUACAAACCAAAGUAAACAAAGCACCCCAGGGGCGAUUUCCUCCUUUUGCGCAGCUCACUUCGCAAUUUACCUCCGAAGCGAUCGUAAACACACACAAGAAUCAAGGCAGAAAUCGCGAUUGGUCUGAGGAAGACCUUCCGGAUGGAAAAGGCAGAGACUGAACGUGUUCAAAGGGACGGUCACUGAAAUACCUGCCGGCUGCCUCUCCACGGGCCAACCUUCCUUCUCCCCCGGGAACUCGGGGCUCGCUCCAGCGGCUCUUUAAGCAUACAUCUCCCUGGGAAAGGGGAGAAGGAAAAAGAAAAAAAAAAAGGGGGGGGGGGGGGGGGGGAGAAAAAUGACAAGAAAGAAACAAACAGAAAAAGACAAACCACCCCCUCCCCCUCACCCCGCACCUCGGGUCCGUCUCCCCAGCCCGUGAAGCAGCGUCAGCCUCAGAGCGGGUGGGGUGGGAGGAGAAGUGACCGGGCUGGAUCGCAGUGUUUGCUCGAUCGAAGGGAGCGAUGUGGCAGCGGAUUGAUUUAUUGCUGAGCUUGGCCGCUUCCCGGCUGGGCGCGGGGGGAGCGUGAGCGAGGGGUGCCUGGCACCGGGCUAACACCAACUCAGGGCUCACGGCUAAAGAGAACCACCAGUUCAGACCCCGCUGCAUGGGGGCUGCGGGACAGGGGGCGCGGAACGCCCCUCUGCUCCCACUCCGCGUUCCUUCGGGCUCCGACCCGCUAAGGAAGGAUCCCCUACGGUCAUCGCUCCCUUUGUUCCCCGCUGCUGCCCGCACCCGGCCCUACGCGGGCGGGUCGGGGCCGCUCUGCUCGGAGGGCUCCGGGCUCCCAGGUGGGCUCCGGCUCGCCGUUCUCUCCGUGCAGGUUCUCGGCGCUCCUAAAGGGUUUAAGCGAGGUGUGAGAGAAGAAAAGUGUUUAAAUCUUACUGGGGAGGUAAAGGGGUGGGAGGAUUCCCUCUGAUGGCAAGUUAGAAAUAACCCGAGCUUUCCAGAGGGACGUUCGAAUUGGACUUAAUGGAGCCAUACUUCUACUUCUUUUGCCUCAGCUGUGAGUCCCGGAUCCUUUCAGCAUUGACAGAGAUUUCCAGAGAGGGGAGAAGGGGGGGUACCCGGGGUGGCCAUUUUAUGUAAAUGAGCAAAUCCGAAAUGUAUUACAAAUCCGGUGUAAUAAAACUGACAGUUUUGACAGUAUUGACAACAUAAAUAUAUGUUGGAACACAGCACUUUCAGACACUUAACCGAUGAAGCAAUAAAAAGAUUCGACUACAAUAUUUCAAAUAAUCGACAUUGAUGUUUUGAUACAUCAUUUUUAUACCUCGAAUCGAUCUAUCACUCCGUGACCGGUCAAUUUUAAGUAAAAAUCUGCUGCAAUUAUUUACGCUAUUGCCAAUGACGACCUAAUAACUGUUUUCAAUUAAUUACAGCAAAACUAAGCAUUAUGAGGACCAACCGGCCGUAUAUCCCGUCGUACAGUCUCUCGCGUUGUUUGUAUGGAGAGCAAAUACAUAUAUGCAUAUUGCAUUCUCUUUGUGGGAUCAAAAGAAAGGCUUACAAAGGCGAUCCCAAUCUUCUAAGAAGAAAAGAAGAAGGAAAGAGGGAAAGAGGGAAAGAGGGAAAGAGGGAAAGAGGGAAAGAGGGAAAGAGGGAAAGAGGGAAAGAGGGAAAGAGGGAAAGAGGGAAAGAGGGAAAGAAAGAAAGAAAGAAAGAAAGAAAGAAAGAAAGAAAGAAAGAAAGAAAGAAAGAAAGAAAGAAAGAAAGAAAGAAAGAAAGAAAGAAAGAAAGAGAGAAAGAAAGAAAGAAAGAAAGAAAGAGAAAGAAAGAAAGAAAGAAGAAGAAGAAGAAAGAAAGAAGGAAAGAAGGAAAAAGAACACCACCACCUCUCUCUCAGGAGCACACCACAGUUCUCUCCUCUCAGCACGCAUUUCGAGGAAACAUACUAUAAUAUUUUGUCAGCUCAUUCCCCGUGCAACACCAAGCCGGGCUGCUGAGAUUUUUUCCCCCUUUUCUCCAUGGGCUGAAACCCACUUCAGACAAUGGCCCGAGCGGCUCCUUCCGAGCGGGGCGCUCCGCGCCGGAGCCACCGCGUGUGCGGGGGCAGCCGCAGAGCUCCAGAGGCGGUGGGAGCACAUUGUUCUCUCCCGGACGGAGAGCUCCGGCGUCAAACGCGAGCGGUCCUCUUCUGAAGUGCCAAGGGCAACUGGGGAACAGCAGCGAGUGUUCUGAGUGAGCGAGAGCAGAGCCUAGCGGAGUUGGGAGCUCCUCAGCUGCUCUGAUGUUGCGCUACACUGACAAGCUUGCCCUCGCUGUCCUUUCCGUUACGGUAUCACAGUGCAAAGAGGGAUUAUAUUUAUUUAUUUAUUUGUGUUCUGGGCUCCUUCGAAGAAAUGCAAACUAGAUUUUGAACUACCCUGGCAGAAGCGGCCUCACUGGGCAGCCCAGACAGGUAUUUUAGUCCCUCUGGUUUACGUUGGAAAUACGCACAGAGCUGCACACAGACUUCCCUGCACACCCCAGCCAGCCCACGGCGUACACAUCACGCCACUCACUUCACGCUGGUGCUUCCCACGCACCCACGCGUGGGUUCAGUCCCUCGGACACGGAGCGGGGGGAGGCCUAAGGGCUCCCCUUCUCGCCGCGGCCGCCGUGCGGAGCUGCGGGCAGGGGCGCGUCGGGCGAGCGCCCACGGCCACGCGAGAGAGUUC